UACAGAGGGUGCGAGCGUUAAUCGGAAUUACUGGGCGUAAAGCGCGCGUAGACGGUUUUGUAAGUCAGAUGUGAAAUCCCCGGGCUCAACCUGGGAACUGCAUUUGAAACUGCAUGGCUAGAGUACGGUAGAGGGAAGCGGAAUUUCAGGUGUAGCGGUGAAAUGCGUAGAUAUCUGAAGGAACACCAGUGGCGAAAGCGGCUUCCUGGACCAGUACUGACGUUCAUGUGCGAAAGCGUGGGGAGCAAACAGG
rnacentral:rRNA from 1 species